UACGGAGGGUGCGAGCGUUGUCCGGAAUCACUGGGCGUAAAGGGCGCGUAGGCGGCGAGGAUAGUCAACGGUGAAAGCUUGGGGCUCAACCCCGAGUCGGCCGUCGAUACUUCCUUGCUUGAGCACUGUAGAGGCAGAUGGAAUUCCUGGUGUAGCAGUGAAAUGCGUAGAUAUCAGGAGGAACACCGAUGGCGAAGGCAGGUCUCUGGGCUGACACUGACGCUCAUGCACGAAAGCGUGGGGAGCAAACAGG
rnacentral:rRNA from 1 species